rnacentral:sRNA from 1 species
GGGGAAGAGGGCACAAUACGCCCCCUGCAAAAUAGAGAUUAACCGACGUUUAUUAACGCGUCGGUUAUUUUUUUGC